rnacentral:pre_miRNA from 1 species
UUUAUACUCCCUCCAUCCGAAAAUACUAGUCAUCAAAAUGGAUAAAAAGAGAUGUAUCUAAAACUAAAAUACAUCUAGAUACAUUUCCUUUUGUCCAUUUUGAUGACAAGUAUUUCCGGACGGAGGGAGUAUUUG